AGGUGGCAUCAUGCCACCUUGAACACACCCAAGCUUGUCUGUUUUUGGAAGAUUAGUGGGGUCGGGCCUGGUGAAUACUUGGAUGGGAGACAAGAGAAUGCCAGGAAUUUCCAUGUA
rnacentral:rRNA from 1 species